rnacentral:rRNA from 1 species
UAGGGAAUCUUCGGCAAUGGGGGCAACCCUGACCGAGCAACGCCGCGUGAGUGAAGAAGGUUUUCGGAUCGUAAAGCUCUGUUGUAAGUCAAGAACGGGUGUGAGAGUGGAAAGUUCACACUGUGACGGUAGCUUACCAGAAAGGGACGGCUAACUACGUGCCAGCAGCCGCGGUAAUACGUAGGUCCCGAGCGUUGUCCGGAUUUAUUGGGCGUAAAGCGAGCGCAGGCGGUUUGAUAAGUCUGAAGUUAAAGGCUGUGGCUCAACCAUAGUUCGCUUUGGAAACUGUCAAACUUGAGUGCAGAAGGGGAGAGUGGAAUUCCAUGUGUAGCGGUGAAAUGCGUAGAUAUAUGGAGGAACACCGGUGGCGAAAGCGGCUCUCUGGUCUGUAACUGACGCUGAGGCUCGAAAGCAUGGGUAGCGAACAGGAUUAGAUACCCUGGUAGUCCAUGCCGUAAACGAUGAGCGCUAGGUGUUGGGGACUUUCCGGUCCUCAGUGCCGCAGCAAACGCAUUAAGCGCUCCGCCUGGGGAGUACGACCGCAAGGUUGAAAC